CGACGGGCAGUGGCAGUGGCAGUGCGCGCGCAACUGGCAGGCUGCCUUCGCGCCGAAGCAACGCAAGCAAAAGAAAAGGCGGAACGGCUGGCCCUCGCUGUGCAGACGCUUCUAGAGAGAUCGCCGAGACGUGUCAACCGCCCAUAGGCCGGCCAGCUGUCGCGCACCCGCAGCUCCGCGAAAUAAAUACCCCCUCCACCUUUCCCCACCACCGCCACCAGCACCAACAGAGAUCUUCUCCACUCCUAUUCUACUCAACCCCUCGCCGCCGCCGCCGCAGAUCGCACCACCGACCGACCGAAGCGAUGGCCGCCUCCACCGUCGCGUCCAGGGCCGUGGCCGUCCUCGCCGUCCUGUCGGUCGCCGCCUUCUCCGUCGUCGCCGCGCAGGAGGCCCCGGCGCCGAGCCCCGUGUCGGCCGCCGGCGCAGCGGCGCCGUCCCUCGCCGCCGCGCUCGUCGCCUCCGGCGCCGCCUUCCUCUUCGCCGCCGUCCGCCACUGAAGCGGCCGCCUCCGUCUUCCCCGACCGUCCGCCCGUCGAUGGCUACUCCUCUACAUCUACAUAGUACCGCCGCGUAGAUCCGUUUAGAGCGCCGCUGCUGUUACCACUUACCACUAGCGAUUUGUUGGUUGUCCGUGUCCGCUUGGCCUGAUCUGCCUGCUACUGUCGAUGACGAUGAUGAUGAUUACUAUCUCCUGCUUGUAGAUACUUCUCACCACUGCUAUUUAUCCGGUUUGAUCUGCUGAUAUAUUCGCUCCCCAUUUGAUUUUGAUGAUGCUUUUCUGUCAGUGGUGAUUCCUGAAUUUUGAUGCUCGUGAUCGUGGUGAAUCUGUUUCUCACCACUGCAACAGUGCACAAGCAUAGAUUCUAUACUUCGAAGAAGUUGGUGGAUUCCGAACACACCCUUAAUAUAAAUGAAUAUUAAAUUGGAGAAGAAUCUGCACAUGUUUGAGUAAACAUGAAUGAUGGGCUGAUGCAGGGGUCAUGGGUGGCGUGUGCUGCUCGUUUGGACUGCCUGCCGUGAAUUGACCGGGGUCAUUUUCUUGUUGCGAUUCUCGGUAAAAAAAAAGAAAAACUUUCCCCGGUCUAUGAAACAAGUGCCUUGUUACCACCAUUCUACCCAGCUUAACAUCAACAGUCAUCACAAGGAAACAAUAACAGCUAAACAGUCCAUUCCAUAGACAGGCAAAUGCAAGUGACCAUUUGCCAUUUGGCCUGUGUUGUAGCGUUCCAUGUCACAUA
rnacentral:rRNA from 1 species